GAUCCUGGCUCAGAACGAACGCUGGCGGCAGGCUUAACACAUGCAAGUCGAGCGGCCCCGCAAGGGGAGCGGCAGACGGGUGAGUAACGCGUGGGAAUCUACCCAGUCUCUACGGAAUAACGCAUGGAAACCGUGUGCGUAAUACCGUAUACGUCCUUUUAGGAGAAAGAUUUACUCGGAGAUGGAUGAGCCCGCGUUUGGAUUAGACUAGUUGGUGGGUAAGGCUACGAAGGCGACGAUUCCAUAGCUGGU
rnacentral:rRNA from 1 species